rnacentral:lncRNA from 1 species
GUAAGUAAAUAUGUAAAGGAGGGGAGGCUGACACCGGAAGGGCGAGGAGAGUUCAGUGCUGGUGCCUGGGGCAGGCCUCCCUGUGGCCACAUUCCUGCUUCCUGCUGGGGGAGGCUAAGGGAGGGGCGCAAAGGUGCUGGUGGGCAGAGGGAAGGUGUCAAGGGGGUGGUGUGCCCCCUGCCAUCUGCAAUCGUGUACUUAAAGGGAGGAGGACUGGCUCCAGUCCUGUUUUCUGUCUGCAGCGUGAGAGAACUUGGUUGCCUGGGUAUCCGGAAGGCUGGGUGAGGGUCACAUGAGGGGCUCUCCGCAGCAGGGGGUCUGUUCAUAACUCUGGGCUCCAGCUGUGGAAUUCUGAGUGUCACACCUCACCUGGCUGAGUCUCCACUGCCUCCUAGGCGCAUUCCAACAAUUUGGGCUCUCACUGCUUGAGCAAACCCUGGUGUGCAUUUGGCCUCAGGGCCUGGAAGACGACAGUUCAAGAAACCACAGGACUCCAGCAAUGAGCUGCUCCCCUUGCUGUGUGUGUGUGUGUGUGUGUGUGUGUGUGUGUGUGUAGGGUGAGGGAUGGCAAGUAGGAAAGGAAUUCCAGGAAGAAUAAAGUGCAUGUGCAAAGGCCCUGGGGCAGGAGGAGCCUUGGCUGCUGGAGGAAGCAUAAGAAAGCUGAGGUGUCGGCUGGGCACAGUGGCUCAUGCCUGUAAUCCCAGCAGUUUGGGGGGCUGAGACGGGUAGAUCAGGAGUUCGUGACCAGCCUGGCCAACAUGGCAAAACCCCGUCUCUACUAAAAAUACAAAAAUUAACCAGGCGUGGUGGUACAUGCCUGUAGUCCCAGCUACCCGGGAGGCUGAGGCAGGAGAAUCACUUAAAUCCAGGAGGUGGAGGUUGCAGUAAGCUGAGAUUGUGCCACUGCACUCCAGUCUGGGUGACAGAGUGAGACUACGUCUUGAAAAAAAAAAAAGAGAGAAAAAAAAGAAAGCUGAGGUGUCUGGACCUGAGCCGGGAAAGGUGAGGACAGGAUAGGCCCUGCAGGGCCCUGGACCGUGUUAAGCAGUUUGGUUUUUAGCCUAAGAGCAAUGGCAUUUAUGACUAAGUGUGCAAUUUACAAAAACUCCUGUGGCUACGGGGUUGUUUUCCUGCUAAGCCCUGCCCUGCCAAGCAAGCAGAAAGGUCUCAGAGUGUGAAUCCACGAGCCAUGGACCGGGAGGGCCUCAGGCCAGACAACAAGUCCCUUUCCACCCAUCCACCUUGCGUUCUGAGAUGGCUGAGCUGUAUGUGUCGCCGUGGCUGGGCUGUGGGGCCCAGUUGUUUGGUCAUGCAUUAGUCUAGAUGCUGCUGUGAAAGUGUGCUGCAGAUGCGGCUCACACUGACAGUCAGCUGACUGCAAGAGAAGGAGAUCGCCCUCAAUAAUGCAGGAGCCUCAUGAAGUCUGUUGGCAGCCUGAAGAGUAAAUACUGAGGUUUCCCAGAGAAGAAACCCAGCCUGGAAUAUCAACUCCUGCCUGAGUCCCCGGCUUGCUGGCUUGCCCUUCACAUUGCAGAAUUGCCAGCCUGCACAAUUGUGUGGGCCAAGUUCUUAAAAUAAAUUUCUUAGUAUAUGGCUGUGGCUAUCUGUCUGUCUGUCUAUCUAUCUAUCUAUCCAUCCAUCCAUCCACCCACCUACCUACCCAUCCAUCCACUCAUCCAUCUAUCCAUCCAUUCACCUAUCCACCCAUGCAUUCAUCCACCCACCUGCCCACCUACCCAUCCACCCAUCCACCAAUCCAUCCACCCACCAAUCCAUCCACCCAUCCACCAAUCCAUCCACUCCUCCAUUCAUCCAUCCAUCCACCCAUCCACCCAUCCAUCCACCCAUCCAUCCACCAAUCCAUCCACCCACCC